rnacentral:tRNA from 1 species
GGCGAAGUUGCAGCUCAGGGGUGGUUUGCGUCGGGUCUGUAAAACCGUCGGCUCAGCCUACGCAGGUUCAAGUCCUGCACCUGCCACCA